GAUGAAGAACGUAGCGAAAUGCGAUAAGUAAUGUGAAUUGCAGAAUUCAGUGAAUCAUCGAAUCUUUGAACGCACAUUGCGCCCCCUGGUAUUCCGGGGGGCAUGCCUGUUCGAGCGUCAUUUCACCACUCAAGCACGGCUUGUGUGUUGGGCCUCCGUCCUCCUCCCGGGGGACGGGCCCGAAAGGCAGCGGCGGCACCGCGUCCGGUCCUCGAGCGUAUGGGGCUUCGUCACCCGCUCUUGUAGGCCCGGCCGGCGCUUGCCGACACAUCAAUCUUUUUUCCAGGUUGACCUCGGAUCAGGUAGGGAUACCCGCUGAACUUAAGCAUAUCAAUAAGCGGAGGA
rnacentral:misc_RNA from 1 species